rnacentral:rRNA from 1 species
GGCGGACGGGUGAGAUAACGCGUAGGAAUCUACCUAAUGGUGGGGGAUAGCCCAGGGAAACUUGGAUUAAUACCGCAUAAGUCCUAAGGGAGAAAGCGGGGGAUCUUCGGACCUCGUGCCAUUAGAUGAGCCUGCGUAAGAUUAGCUAGUUGGUGAGGUAAGAGCUCACCAAGGCGACGAUCUUUAGCUGGUCUGAGAGGAUGAUCAGCCACACUGGGACUGAGACACGGCCCAGACUCCUACGGGAGGCAGCAGUGGGGAAUAUUGGACAAUGGGGGCAACCCUGAUCCAGCCAUGCCGCGUGUGUGAAGAAGGCCUUCGGGUUGUAAAGCACUUUCAGAUGUGAGGAAAGGUUGCAGAUUAAUACUCUGUAGCUGUGACGUUAACAUCAGAAGAAGGACCGGCUAACUCCGUGCCAGCAGCCGCGGUAAUACGGAGGGUCCGAGCGUUAAUCGGAAUUACUGGGCGUAAAGCGCGC